rfam:Chlamydomonas reinhardtii strain CC-503 cw92 mt+ CHLREscaffold_58 genomic scaffold, whole genome shotgun sequence.
CUGCGGUGAGCUGAACGCGUAGCGAAUAUCUCUUUCGCCUUUUACUAAAGAGAUCCGCGAGUUUUGCUCCUCAAGCCGCUUCUCUCUCUUUUUGAGGGGCUUUUGCCCUUA